rnacentral:rRNA from 1 species
CACGUAGGGCGCAAGCGUUGUCCGGAAUUAUUGGGCGUAAAGAGCUCGUAGGCGGUCUGUUGCGUCCGCUGUGAAAACUCGGGGCUUAACCCCGAGCCUGCAGUGGAUACGGGCAGACUAGAGGUAGGUAGGGGAGAAUGGAAUUCCCGGUGUAGCGGUGAAAUGCGUAGAUAUCGAGAGGAACACCAGUGGCGAAGGCGAGUCCCUGGACAACUCCUGACGCUGAGGCACGAAAGCUAGGGGAGCAAACAGG